rnacentral:rRNA from 1 species
GACGAAGGGGGGCUAGCGUUGUUCGGAAUUACUGGGCGUAAAGCGCGUGUAGGCGGUUGUUCAAGUCAGGUGUGAAAGCCUUGAGCUCAACUCAAGAAAUGCACUUGAUACUGGAUAACUAGAGGACCGGAGAGGAUAGUGGAAUUCCCAGUGUAGUGGUGAAAUACGUAGAGAUUGGGAAGAACACCAGUGGCGAAGGCGGCUAUCUGGACGGUUUCUGACGCUAAGACGCGAAAGCGUGGGGAGCAAACAGG